GACGAACGCUGGCGGCGUGCUUAACACAUGCCAGUCGAACGGAAAGGCCCUGCUUUUGUGGGGUGCUCGAGUGGCGAACGGGUGAGUAACACGUGAGUAACCUGCCCUUGACUUUGGGAUAACUUCAGGAAACUGGGGCUAAUACCGGAUAGGAGCUCCUGCUGCAUGGUGGGGGUUGGAAAGUUUCGGCGGUUGGGGAUGGACUCGCGGCUUAUCAGCUUGUUGGUGGGGUAGUGGCUUACCAAGGCUUUGACGGGUAGCCGGCCUGAGAGGGUGACCGGCCACAUUGGGACUGAGAUACGGCCCAGACUACUACGGGAGGCAGCAGUGGGGAAUAUGGCACAAUGGGCGGAAGCCGGAUGCAGCAACGCCGCGUGCGGGAUGACGGCCUUCGGGUUGUAAACCGCUUUCGCCUGUGACGAAGCGUGAGUGACGGUAAUGGGUAAAGAAGCACCGGCUAACUACGUG
rnacentral:rRNA from 1 species